rnacentral:sRNA from 1 species
GCUUAUGGUGAAUGAGAGGAGGGGCUGGAGGUGCAGUUCUGUGGUGCAUGCUUUCUCUUUCAGGCUGAAAGUCACAACAUGAAAAACCAACAGAUGGAUCCCUUUACUCGGCGGCAGUGCAAGCCUACCAUCGUUUCUAAUUCCAGAGACCCAGCUGUUCAAGCUGCCAUCUUGGCCCAGCUGAAUGCAAAAUACGGUUCUGGAGUGUUACCAGAUGCUCCAAAGGAAAUGAGCAAGGGUCAAGGCAAAGAUAAAGAUUUGAAUUCUAAGUCAGCCAGUGACCUCUCAGAAGAUCUGUUCAAAGUACACGAUUU